rfam:Spinacia oleracea cultivar SynViroflay scaffold10069.con0009.1, whole genome shotgun sequence.
GUGUUUGUAGCUCAGUGGAUAGUGCGUUUGUUUCCUAAACAGAAGGUCAUGGGUUCGGCCCCUAGCUGAUGCG